UCCUUGUUAGUAUAUCGGUUUAGUACACGCGCCUGUCACAAUUAUCGACUGAUCGCGCGAGAGCUGGGUUCGACUCCCAGACAGGGAG